ACUCUGGUAGAAAUUACUUCCGAGUUGUUGAGAAGUCAAAUGAUGCCAUUUUCUUUCACAACGUUAACGUGGAUGAGACUGGAAAGGAAACAAAUGUGAUUUUAGUUGCUGGGAAAGGAGAGACCCUGAGCGAAGCACAGAAGCAGGAGCUUAGGGAGCUGGCCAAGGAAUACAGUAUUCCAAAGGAGAAUAUCCAGCAUUUGGUGCCCACAGACACUUGUAGCCAAUAAAAACACCAUAUGGCUUCACAGAUGACAGCGAGAUCAACAAUAUUUCCCACAUCACCUUUUCCAUGAAAUCAGAAUCGUGACAAGGAACAUAGCUCAUCGUUUUCUUGCUGUUUUCUUUUCAUCUUUCCUAUGAAGCCAGAAUCUCUGCUUCAUGGAUCUGUUUCCCAUCCUCCUACCAUGGUACUGAUUCUUCUGUUGGUAAAAUAAAUUGAUUUUUCAUGCAC